CUCUGCAGUCAAACAAAGAGACUUUACACUACUGAGGGUUUAGCUACAAUUAAGCAACUGGGACCCUAAUGAUGUUAGCCAACAAAAAUCCAGCGGAUCAAAAAUCCUCGAUGGAGCCUAAAAAUAGGAGAAACCAAGGAGAUGGAAGAGGAGAUAAAAGGAUCAAGAGAGAGGAAUGAAUGAAUCCGGAGAGACGACAGCUGAACACAUCUGGUUGGGGUUUUCUGUCCAAGAUGUGGAGCCGAUCCACACUCGCUGGUGCGCCAGUCCCAUCAUGCAAGUCUGCACAGGGGAUGCUGUGGGCUUCCGGUCCUUCAACAAAAGGACACAGUGAUGGCUGUCCUCGCCACACCGACAGCGUUGAGACAGAUCAGUGGUGACAACUGUUGUACCGACUGUGAUGAGUCUGUCAUGUUCGGUUUCUGACAACAAAACCCGCCGUGAAGGACGCGGUGAAGCCUCUGACCAACCACAACAUUGAAGAACAACACCUUCCACACAUCACACAUCCUUUGGCUCUGCUUUCCAGGUGAUAUGGAGUCAAGAGAAACACUAAACUGACUUAUUCUAAAGGGAUUACACACUUGUUACUUCAUUCUCUGCAUGCGGUUUGCCAAACUCUAUGGCGUUGAGCAAAGAUUGUUUCAUGGUGACGUUGAUAAGAAACAGAUUUGAGAAAUUGGAACAAAGAAACCCUCUUGGGUUUGUUAAUGAGGCAGCUUUGGCAGAAUCAGUUCAGUUUUAUUGUCCUCUGUGGGGAAAUAUAUCUGAAAAUAACUCUUACUUUUUUAAUAAAAAGACACGAAAUCCAGCCA